rnacentral:rRNA from 1 species
GAUUCCCUUAGUAACUGCGAGUGAAGAGGGAACAGCUCAAAUUUAAAAUCUGGCGGUGUUUGGCCGUCCGAGUUGUAGUUUGGAGAAGUGUUUUCGGUGCUGGACCGUGUAUAAGUCUCCUGGAAUGGAGCCUCAUAGAGGGUGAGAAUCCCGUCUUUGAUGCGGACUGCCAGUGCUAUGUGAUGCGCUCUCAACGAGUCGAGUUGUUUGGGAAUGCAGCUCAAAAUGGGUGGUAAAUUCCAUCUAAAGCUAAAUAUUGGCGAGAGACCGAUAGCGAACAAGUACCGUGAGGGAAAGAUGAAAAGCACUUUGGAAAGAGAGUGAAACAGUACGUGAAAUUGUUGAAAGGGAAACACUUGAAGUCAGUCUUGUCACCAGGGACUCAGCCUUGCAAUUUUUGGUUGUCUGGUGUAUUUCCCUGUGAGACGGGCCAGCAUCGAUUUUGUUCAUCGGAUAAAGGCCAGGGGAAUGUGGCACCCAUUGGGUGUGUUUAUAGCCCCUGGUUGUAUACGGUGGGUCGGGAUCGAGGUCUGCAGCCUUGUUGUUUUUUCUCUUGGCUUUAGGAUGCUGGCAUAAUGGCUUUAAAUGACCCGUCUUGAAACACGGACCAAGGAGUCUAACGUGCACGCGAGUGUUUGGGUGGAAAACCCUGGACGCGCAAUGAAAGUGAACAGUUGAGACCUCUGUUGUGGAGGGCAUCGACGCCCGGACUUGAUCCACGGUGACGGUUCCGCGGUGGAGCGUGUAUGUUGGGACCCGAAGAUGGUGAACUAUGCCUGAAUAGGGUGAAGCCAGAGGAAACUCUGGUGGAGGCUCGUAGCGAUUCUGACGUGCAAAUCGAUCGUCAAAUUUGGGUAUAGGGGCGAAAGACUAAUCGAACCAUCUAGUAGCUGGUUCCUGCCGA